AGAGUUUGAUCCUGGCUCAGGACGAACGCUGGCGGCACGCUUAACACAUGCAAGUCGAACGAGAGAAGAGGAGCUUGCUUUUCUGAUCUAGUGGCGGACGGGUGAGUAACACGUGAGCAAUCUGCCUUUCAGAGGGGGAUACCGAUUGGAAACGAUCGUUAAUACCGCAUAACAUAAUUGAACCGCAUGAUUUGAUUAUCAAAGAUUUAUCGCUGAAAGAUGAGCUCGCGUCUGAUUAGCUAGUUGGUAAGGUAACGGCUUACCAAGGCGACGAUCAGUAGCCGGACUGAGAGGUUGAUCGGCCACAUUGGGACUGAGACACGGCCCAGACUCCUACGGGAGGCAGCAGUGGGGAAUAUUGCACAAUGGAGGAAACUCUGAUGCAGCGAUGCCGCGUGAGGGAAGAAGGUUUUAGGAUUGUAAACCUCUGUCUUCAGGGACGAAAAAAGACGGUACCUGAGGAGGAAGCUCCGGCUAACUACGUGCCAGCAGCCGCGGUAAUACGUAGGGAGCGAGCGUUGUCCGGAAUUACUGGGUGUAAAGGGAGCGUAGGCGGGAUCGCAAGUCAGAUGUGAAAACUAUGGGCUUAACCCAUAAACUGCAUUUGAAACUGUGGUUCUUGAGUGAAGUAGAGGUAAGCGGAAUUCCUAGUGUAGCGGUGAAAUGCGUAGAUAUUAGGAGGAACAUCAGUGGCGAAGGCGGCUUACUGGGCUUUAACUGACGCUGAGGCUCGAAAGCGUGGGGAGCAAACAGGAUUAGAUACCCUGGUAGUCCACGCCGUAAACGAUGAUUACUAGGUGUGGGGGGACUGACCCCUUCCGUGCCGCAGCAAACGCAAUAAGUAAUCCACCUGGGGAGUACGACCGCAAGGUUGAAACUCAAAGGAAUUGACGGGGGCCCGCACAAGCAGUGGAGUAUGUGGAUUAAUUCGAAGCAACGCGAAGAACCUUACCAGGUCUUGACAUCGUAUGCAUAGCUCAGAGAUGAGUGAAAUCUCUUCGGAGACAUAUAGACAGGUGGUGCAUGGUUGUCGUCAGCUCGUGUCGUGAGAUGUUGGGUUAAGUCCCGCAACGAGCGCAACCCUUACUGUUAGUUGCUACGCAAGAGCACUCUAGCAGGACUGCCGUUGACAAAACGGAGGAAGGUGGGGAUGACGUCAAAUCAUCAUGCCCCUUAUGACCUGGGCCUCACACGUACUACAAUGGCUGUCAACAGAGGGAAGCAAAGCCGCGAGGUGGAGCGAACCCCUAAAAGCAGUCUUAGUUCGGAUUGUAGGCUGCAACCCGCCUACAUGAAGUCGGAAUUGCUAGUAAUCGCAGAUCAGCAUGCUGCGGUGAAUACG
rnacentral:rRNA from 1 species